UACGAAGGGGGCUAGCGUUGCUCGGAAUCACUGGGCGUAAAGCGCACGUAGGCGGCUUUUAAGUCAGGGGUGAAAUCCUGGAGCUCAACUCCAGAACUGCCUUUGAUACUGAGAGCUUGAGUCCGGGAGAGGUGAGUGGAAUGCGAAGUGUAGAGGUGAAAUUCGUAGAUAUUCGCAAGAACACCAGUGGCGAAGGCGGCUCACUGGCCCGGUACUGACGCUGAGGUGCGAAAGCGUGGGGAGCAACAGG
rnacentral:rRNA from 1 species